rnacentral:snRNA from 1 species
GUGCUUGCUUCAGCAGCACAUAUACUAAAAUUGUUAUGAUACAGAGCAGAUUAGAAUGGUCCCUGUGCAAAGAUGACAUACAAAUUCAUGAAGCAUUCCAUAUUUUU